UACGUAGGGGGCAAGCGUUGUCCGGAUUUAUUGGGCGUAAAGAGCUCGUAGGCGGUGUGUCGCGUCGGCCGUGAAAACCUGCAGCUCAACUGUGGGCUUGCGGUCGAUACGGGCAUCACUGGAGUUCGGCAGGGGAGACUGGAAUUCCUGGUGUAGCGGUGAAAUGCGCAGAUAUCAGGAGGAACACCGGUGGCGAAGGCGGGGUCUCUGGGCCGAUACUGACGCUGAGGAGCGAAAGCGUGGGGAGCGAACAGG
rnacentral:rRNA from 1 species